rnacentral:rRNA from 1 species
UCGCCUGUUUAUCAAAAACAUGGUUUCUUGAUAUUGUAUUUGAAAUUUAACCUGCCCACUGAAUAAUUUUGAAGGGCCGCAGUAUUUUGACUGUGCAAAGGUAGCAUAAUCAUUAGUCUUUUAAUUGAGGGCUGGUAUGAAUGGUUGGACGAGGUAGAUUCUGUCUUAUAUUAAUUUAAAUUGAAUUUAGAUUUUAAGUAAAAAGACUUAAAUAUUGUUAAGGGACGAGAAGACCCUAUAGAGUUUAAUAUUUAUAGUUUUAAUUAAGUUAUGAAUUAAUUUUUGGUUAUUAUGAAGUUUAUUUAAUUGGGGUGAUUAAAAGAUAAAUAAAACUCUUUUUUGAGUUAAAUUAUUAUAAUUAGUUAAUUGAUCCAUUUAUAGUGAUUAAAAGAUUAAAUUACCUUAGGGAUAACAGCAUAAUCUUUUUUGAGAGUUCAUAUUGAAAAAGAGGAUUGUGACCUCGAUGUUGGAUUAAGAUUAAUUUUGGGUGUAGAUGUUUAAAAAUUAAGUCUGUUCGACUUUUAAAUUCUUACAUGAUCUGAGUUCAAACCGGAGA